UUGAACGCUGGCGGCAGGCCUAACACCUGCAAGUCGCGCGGAUGAAGGGAGCUUGCUCCUGGAUUCAGCGGCGGACGGGUGAGUAAUGCCUAGGAAUCUGCCUGGUAGUGGGGGAUAACGUCCGGAAACGGGCGCUAAUACCGCAUACGUCCUGAGGGAGAAAGUGGGGGAUCUUCGGACCUCACGCUAUCAGAUGAGCCUAGGUCGGAUUAGCUAGUUGGUGGGGUAAAGGCCUACCAAGGCGACGUUCCGUAACUGGUCUGAGAGGAUGAUCAGUCACACUGGAACUGAGACACGGUCCAGACUCCUACGGGAGGCAGCAGUGGGGAAUAUUGGACAAUGGGCGAAAGCCUGAUCCAGCCAUGCCGCGUGUGUGAAGAAGGUCUUCGGAUUGUAAAGCACUUUAAGUUGGGAGGAAGGGCAGUAAGUUAAUACCUUGCUGUUUUGACGUUACCAACAGAAUAAGCACCGGCUAACUUCGUG
rnacentral:rRNA from 1 species